rnacentral:misc_RNA from 1 species
CCGGGAGGACCCCCGCCAUUGUGCGGCCGACUGCCGGCGCCUGUGUCCCUUCAACUGUUGGAGCAAUAUGCCCUAAAUGUUACACGAGUGCUUGUGUGCUGCUACCGGUUGAUAGGAAGGUGCGUUUGACAAAUGAUGACUGCGACGUGCCCGUCCAAGUGGCGUGGCACGUUGAGUGGAAAGCACUCACGGUUUUGCCUCAUGUAGCUAGCCUAGCCUAUGCUAGCUUCAUCAAGUCCACCUCGUGUUUGCUAUUGGUCCUGGAUGCUGCAAGCGACAAAGGCCGAGUGCGCYUAGGCGUCUCGUGCCUAGCAAAGAUCGUUCGAUCGGAAACAACGACAGCCGGCCUGGYUGAAGCCUCGUGCCGAGGCUAGCGUCGGCUCGUCGAUGAGGAC